rnacentral:rRNA from 1 species
UACAGAGGUCUCAACCGUUGGUUCGGAUUCAUUGGGGCGUAAAGAGCUCGUAGGCGGUGUGUCGCGUCGGCCCGUGAAAACCUGCAGCUUAACUGUGGGCGUGCGGUCGAUACGGGCAUCACUGGAGUUCGGCAGGGAGACUGGAAUUCUGGUGUAGCGGUGAAAGUGACGCAGAUAGUCAGGAGGAACACCGGUGGCGGAAGGCGGGACUCUGGGGCCGAAUACUGA